GACGAACGCUGGCGGCGUGCUUAACACAUGCAAGUCGAACGGUAAGGCCCUUCGGGGUACACGAGCGGCGAACGGGUGAGUAACACGUGGGUGAUCUGCCCUGCACUUCGGGAUAAGCCUGGGAAACUGGGUCUAAUACCGGAUAGGACCACUGCCUGCAUGGGUGGUGGUGGAAAGCUUUUGCGGUGUGGGAGGGGCCCGGGGCUUAUCGGCUUGUUGGUGGGGUGGUGGCCUAGCAAGGCGACGACGGGGAGCAGGCGUGAGAGGGUGACGGGGCACCCUGGCACUGAGAUACGGGCGAGACUCCUAGGGGAGGCAGCAGUGUGGAAUAUUGCACAAUGGGCGCAAGCCGGAUGCAGCGACGCCGCGUGAGGGAUGACGGCCUUCGGGUUGUAAACCUCUUGCAGCACCGACGAAGCGCAAGUGACGGUAGGUGCAGAAGAAGGACCGGCCAACUACGUGCCAGCCGCCGCAGUAA
rnacentral:rRNA from 1 species